AUUGGACAAUGGGGGAAACCUGAUCCAGCCAUGCCGCGUGUGUGAAGAAGGCCUUUUGGUUGUAAAGCACUUUAAGCAGUGAAGAAGACUCUUCGGUUAAUACCCGGAGACGAUGACAUUAGCUGCAGAAUAAGCACCGGGCUAACUCUGUGCCAGCAGCCGCGGUAAUACAGAGGGUGCAAGCGUUAAUCGGAAUUACUGGGCGUAAAGCGAGCGUAGGUGGCUUGAUAAGUCAGAUGUGAAAUCCCCGGGCUUAACCUGGGAACUGCAUCUGAUACUGUCAGGCUAGAGUAGGUGAGAGGAAGGUAGAAUUCCAGGUGUAGCGGUGAAAUGCGUAGAGAUCUGGAGGAAUACCGAUGGCGAAGGCAGCCUUCUGGCAUCAUACUGACACUGAGGCUCGAAAGCGUGGGUAGCAAACAGGAUUAGAUACCCUGGUAGUCCACGCCGUAAACGAUGUCUACUAGUCGUUGGGUCCCUUGAGGACUUAGUGACGCAGCUAACGCAAUAAGUAGACCGCCUGGGGAGUACGGCCGCAAGGUUAAAACUCAAAUGAAUUGACGGGGCCCGCACAAGCGGUGGAGCAUGUGGUUUAAUUCGAUGCAACGCGAAGAACCUUACCUGGUCUUGACAUAUCUAGAAUCCUGCAGAGAUGCGGGAGUGCCUUCGGGAAUUAGAAUAC
rnacentral:rRNA from 1 species